rnacentral:misc_RNA from 1 species
GAUGAAGAACGCAGCGAAAUGCGAUAAGUAAUGUGAAUUGCAGAAUUCAGUGAAUCAUCGAAUCUUUGAACGCACAUUGCGCCCCCUGGUAUUCCGGGGGGCAUGCCUGUCCGAGCGUCAUUACAACCCUCAAGCUCAGCUUGGUGUUGGGCCCCGCCGCCCCGGCGGGCCCUAAAGUCAGUGGCGGUGCCGUGCGGCUCCGAGCGUAGUAAUUCUUCUCGCUCUGGAGGUCCGGUCGUGUGCUCGCCAGCAACCCCCAAUUUUUUUCAGGUUGACCUCGGAUCAGGUAGGGAUACCCGCUGAACUUAAGCAUAUCAAUAAGCGGAGGA